UACGUAGGGGGCAAGCGUUGUCCGGAAUCAUUGGGCGUAAAGAGCGCGUAGGCGGCCCUGUAAGUCCGCUGUGAAAGUCAAGGGCUCAACCCUUGAAUGCCGGUGGAUACUGCAGGGCUAGAGUCCGGAAGAGGCGAGUGGAAUUCCGAGUGUAGAGGUGAAAUUCGUAGAUAUUCGGAGGAACACCAGUGGCGAAGGCGGCUCACUGGUCCGGUACUGACGCUGAGGUGCGAAAGCGUGGGGAGCAAACAGG
rnacentral:rRNA from 1 species